UUGAACGCUGGCGGCAUGCUUUACACAUGCAAGUCGAACGGCAGCGCGGGCUUCGGCCUGGCGGCGAGUGGCGAACGGGUGAGUAAUGCAUCGGAACGUGCCAGUAGUGGGGGAUAGCCCGGCGAAAGCCGGAUUAAUACCGCAUACGACCUGAGGGUGAAAGCGGGGGACCGAAAGGCCUCGCGCUAUUGGAGCGGCCGAUGUCGGAUUAGCUAGUUGGUGGGGUAAAGGCUUACCAAGGCGACGAUCCGUAGCUGGUCUGAGAGGACGACCAGCCACACUGGGACUGAGACACGGCCCAGACUCCUACGGGAGGCAGCAGUGGGGAAUUUUGGACAAUGGGGGCAACCCUGAUCCAGCCAUGCCGCGUGCGGGAAGAAGGCCUUCGGGUUGUAAACCGCUUUUGUUCGGGAAGAAAUCCUCUGGGCUAAUACCCCGGGGGGAUGACGGUACCGGAAGAAUAAGCACCGGCUAACUACGUG
rnacentral:rRNA from 1 species